UUUUUUUUUUUUUUUUUUGUCUUUUUAGGGCCGCAUCCUCGACAUAUGGAGGUUCCCAGGCUGGGGGUUGAAUCAGAGCUGUAGCUGCCAGCCUACACCACAGCCACAGCAACACCAGAUCCGAGCCGUGUCUGCGACCUACACCACAGCUCACGGUCCCUGUCUUGAUGUUCUUGGUACUUUUUGAACAAGGGGCUUUGUGUUUUCGUUUUGCACUUGGGCGCCAUAUGUUAGGUAGCUGGUUCUGCUCACCAGCUCUGGUUCCUCGGGCCAGGAUCGUUUCCCAGAGACCAUCUGGGAGAGGUGGGAGGAGAAGUGGACCUGGGUGACUCCUUUUAUUUAUUUAUUUUUUUUAGGGCCACACCUGCGGCAUAUGGAAAUCCCAGGAUAGGGGUCGAAUCGAGCUGUAGCUGCCGGCCUACACCACAGCCGCAGCAAAGCCAGCUCUGAGCCAUUUGCAGCAAUGAGGGAGCCUUAACCCACUGAGCAAGGGCCAGGGUUUGAACCCGUGUCCUCAAGGAUACUAGUCAGGUUCUUAACCUGUUAAGCCACAAGGGGAACUCCCCGGGUGAGUCCUUGAACAGGUCCUGUGUGUGAAACUGAGAUCACAGAGUCGGGUUCGUCCAGAGAGGAGGAGAGGACGAGAGCUGGAGGCUCUUUUCAAGAGAGGAUCGGGCUGUGGAGACGCACUGCCCGGGAAAGCCAGCCCCGGGGCCACUCUCUGAGAGAGGCCAGAUGCCGCCUGCCAUCCAAGCUGUCAGACUGUUGAUAAGAGACAUGAAGAUUUGCCCGGAGGGGGCAGAUGCCUGGCUUGGGUGGGACAGGCAGGGCGCCCUGGCUCCUUCGCCAACAGCUGCUCUGGAUGCUCAGCUUGUUCUCUGUGGCCUGGGUUCAGAUACCGUGUCUCUGAGUCCAGCCUGGCCUGGAGACAGGCUGUCAGAGGCUUGGGUGUUACCCUGUUGUGACAGGUACCAUUAGGAGGGAGGAGCCUGAGAGGCCUGGAUAGACUGUGUCACUUAAGUCCUGAGACCUAGUUACACGGCUGAGUCCCGAGGGUCCCCCAGGCUGGCCUGGGCCAGGUCUUGGGCCCAAAUUUAGGUCACUGCCUUCUCACCCGUCACGUUCUCUCUGCUCCCGCAGUGUCUUGUCCCUCACCUCCUUCCUCUCCGGCUCGGAACCUCAGCCUCCCUCCUCUGUGACUGGUGCCACCUGCCUCAGUUUACACAUGUACUUGUCACUUUCACUCUCGCAGUUUACUCUCAGUGGGCAGGACGAGGGUCUGUUCCCUAGCUUUUCCCUUGUCCUGCGCUCAUUUUUCUUUUUCUUUUUUUCCCCCAUACUCAUGCCAUGUGGAAGUUCCCCAGCCAGGGAUUGAACCCACACCACAGCAGUGACCCCAGCCGCUGCAGUGCCAAAAGCCAGAUCCUUAACCUACUGUGCCACAGGGGAACUCCCGCAGUCAUUUUUGAACAAGGGGCCUCUCAUUUUAUUUUUGUACUGUGACCCCCACAUUAUGGAACCUGACCUGCUGAUCUGCUCUCACCAGGCCAGGAGGACAGGUUCCAAGGCGCUGGAGAUCCCAACCUGACAAGGGGUUCCGAGUGCCAGAGGCAUCUCAUGUACUCUGGAAGGGGAGUGAAUGUCCACGGGCCCACAGGAAGGCCAUGCUGAGCGCCUACUGUGUGCCAGUGAGGGUGACAGUGCGGGGCCAGACUGCUACAAACAGAAGCGCUUUUCUUCAGGGAGUUUACCCAGGAGAGCGUUUAUAAGUCAGACAAAGCCUGGCGUCCAGGGGCCUCCUGGGCAGGAGUGGGGAGAAAACCCGGGCAGCGGGGAGCCAAGUUGGGGAGCCCUGCUUUGGGCGCAGACCCCGCCCUGCCUGGGUCGCCGGCCUCCGAGAGCUGAAAGGGCCUCUGUGCUCCGUCCCCCGCCUGCCCGCCGGCCAGGAGCGCAUUUCCUCAGCUGCGCCAGACCCCGGGGGCUCCGCAGACCCUCUGGGGACAGACACAAAUAGUUCCCGGCCCUGCUGCCCCGGCCAGUUACCUUGGGAACCAAACUCAAUCGCCUGACGUCAUCGGGCCGUUGCAUAGCAACCGGCAGAAACUCUCCCUCCAGCCUCCAGCUCUCCCCGCCUCCGCGGAGAGGUCGCCGUCGCCAUGGAGACAGCGGGGCUGGGCAGGGUGGAGGAUGCCCCCGACCCGCCGGCGCUGUUCUCGCCGCCCCUUGCCUGCUGGGCGGCGCCCUCCGCUGUGAUCCGGGGCUGCUCCUUUCCGCGGCGGAAGGGAACCAGUCCCAGCGGAGGAAAGGUCGCCGCCUGGCUUCGGGCCGCCCGGCGAGGGCCCGGUGGUGGCCUAAGUGCGCUGCACAGCCCUUGGGAUUUCUCUCCCAGAGAGAGGCCCUUGUUCCCAUCUGACGGCCCCCUUUUGGAUUCCAGUCUCAUUGCUCACCAGGCCUCAACCUGGGCUCCUGCUCUGGUAACAAGGAGCAGGUGGCGGCACCGUCCCAGGCCCCUCCCCUGCAGUCGCCCAGGACAUCUCAGUCGCGCUUGGCCACCUGCCUUGCGGGAGGAGACACGAGGCCCUGCUCGCACACUCUGCUCCGGUUCCUGGUCCCCUCCUCCACUCCUGUGCCUGCCCCUGGCGUCUGUGCUAUGAUGAUGCGAUCCGUGUUUACUGGGCCCUGCCUGGGUGCGGUUCGGCCAGGCCACCCCUGGGUGGGAGGAAGGGGGAGGGAGGUGCCUAGCUGACCAUUUCCCAUAGUUUCUGGCGUGGGUGUUGUUCUGAGGCUCCUCCAUCUCCCCGCCCAUUUCUGCUUCACACCAUAGCAGAUCAUAAAUUGCUGAAUCCCAAAGCCCAGUCUGGGAGAUAAGGCCCAGAACCCCUCAGGGGCCAGCAACAAUCUGCCGCUAUGUCCUGCCCCCCUCUGCCCCAACUUACCCAUCUUAGACCAGGGGUAACCCCGGUGGUACUCUUCCAGGUAGAGGCCAGUGGCUACAGUUCCGAUUAGACCCCUAGCCUGGGAACCUCCAUAUGCCACGGGUGCGGCCCUAGAAAAGACAAAAAAAAAAAAAAAA
rnacentral:lncRNA from 1 species